AUGAGUAAAUUUGACGGGAAAGCAACAUCAUGUAGAUAUGUGUGUGCCAAGGAGGGUUUUCGAGCACACGACAAGAGGGAUCAUAUCACAAAGAAUCCUCGAGCUCAAACAAGAACAAAUUGUGAAGUUCGGAUGACACUUUCAUUGGAUCGAGUGGCAGGGAAUUAUGAAGUGGUUGAUGUAAUGCUUGUACACAAUCAUGGUCUUUACUUGCCACAAACAUUCCAUAUGAUGUUAUCACAAAGGAAGAUUUCAGAAGUUCAAGCUUUUGAAAUUGCGAUAGCCAAUGAUUCUGGAAUUAGGCCAAAAGCUUCACAUGAGCUAGCUAGUCGCCGAGUUGGAGGACCAAUGGACCUCACCUACACUCCUCGUGAUCUAAAAAAUCACUUGCAGGGCAGGCGCCAGAGAGAGUUGGCAUAUGGACAGGCAGGAAGCAUGUUGAAGUAUUUUCAAGACAAGAUCGCCGAGAAUCCUUCUUACCAAUAUGCUUUGCAAUUGGAUUGUGAGGACAAUAUAAGCAAUAUAUUCUGGGCUGAUGCUAAGAUGGUCAUUGAUUAUGCACACUUUGGCGAUGUUGUCACAUUUGAUACUACAUUUGGCACAAACAAAGAAUAUAGGCCUUUUGGGGUUUUGUUGGACUGA
rnacentral:rRNA from 1 species